CAUAAAACAAAAAUAAGUGAAACUAAACUUAUUUAGACAUGUAUAUGCAGGUGAUUGUUAUUACCUAUAGUAAGUAUUCAGGGGCUGAAAGUUUAGCACUUGCCAAGCAUGUGAAAAACCCUGCGUUGAUCCUUAGCGUUGCAAAGAAGAAAAGAAAAAAAUUAAAUUCUCUAUAGCAGUUAGGAGUAAAGCUACCAUAACAUUUUUUAAGACCUUAUUUAAUAUGUAGUUUUCUCAUUAACAGUGUGCCUAGGGCCAGCCAACAGCACCAUUCAUUAUUCAUGCUUGAAUAAAGCUUAUCCAGUCUAUCUUUUCUCCAGAAGCCGCGUUAGAGCAUUCUUGCACAGGAACACUAGGCAACAUGCUUGGGAACCGUUUUAAGCAGUAAAAUCAACACAGAAAUGGAAAAACAGCACGAAGUAAACCGUGAAAAGAAUACUUGUCAUGAGAGCCAAGACAAGAAAGAAGUUAGAUUAUCUAGAACAGGCCCUUGAAGGGGAUAUUGAUACCCUGGCAUCUUUCCCUGCUUCCUGACUGCCAUGAGGUAAACAAGCCUUCACCACUUGCUACCACCAUGAUGUGCUUACUUUGCUGCCACCAGCCCAAGCAAAAGGGUCAAACAACCAUGGACUGAGCCGUGAGCCAGAAUAAAACUUUCAUCCUUGUAAAUUGGCCAUCUUGUAUUUUGCCACAGUAACAGAAAGCUAACAAAACUAAAAAUUCAAAAAACUAAAAUUGGUUGUUUACCAAGUGAAAGGUAAAAGGAGGCAGGGAAGUAGAAUAAGUAAAUGAAAGUUAUUGAUUAAUGAUCUUGUUUGAGGCUGGGUGGUGGGUUCAUGAUAUGAAUAAAGAACCAAACAUGAACUAAGGUGACAGUGUGGUAUUAUUUAGCUUUGUUUGAAAGUUAAUAGCCAUUGUCUUUAAAUAAGAGAAAUGAUAAGAGAUACUGAAAAUAAAGUGGAAAGUAGGAGGGACUUUUAAAACAUUAUUGUUACCCAGUUGAUAUGAUGGACGAAAACUUUAAAAUGCUAAUGAGAAACAUAAAAAAGGCAUAUAAUGUUCUUGGAUAGGAUUCAACAUUAUUUUGAAAGGUGUCAAUUCUCCCUAAGUUAAAUUACAUAUUUGUCAUAAUCCUAAUAAAAUAGGUUCUUUUUGAUCUGG
ensembl:lncRNA